UUGAACGCUGGCGGUAUGCUUUACACAUGCAAGUCGAACGGCAGCACGGGGGCAACCCUGGUGGCGAGUGGCGAACGGGUGAGUAACAUAUCGGAACAUAUCCGGAAGUGGGGGAUAGCUCGGCGAAAGCCGGAUUAAUACCGCAUAUGCCCUGAGGGGGAAAGGGGGGGAUCGCAAGACCUCUCGCUUUCGGAGUGGCCGAUAUCAGAUUAGCUAGUUGGUGGGGUAAAGGCUCACCAAGGCGACGAUCUGUAGCUGGUCUGAGAGGACGACCAGCCACACUGGAACUGAGACACGGUCCAGACUCCUACGGGAGGCAGCAGUGGGGAAUUUUGGACAAUGGGCGCAAGCCUGAUCCAGCCAUACCGCGUGAGUGAAGAAGGCCUUCGGGUUGUAAAGCUCUUUCAGCCGGAAAGAAAACGCAUCCCCUAAUACGGGGUGUGGAUGACGGUACCGGAAGAAGAAGCACCGGCUAACUACGU
rnacentral:rRNA from 1 species